rnacentral:rRNA from 1 species
UAAUAACGAUUCCCUAAGUAGCGGUGAGCGAAAAGGGAAGAGCCUAAACGGUAAUGAGCGUGAUAGUCGGUAGACGUUGCUCAUUACCGGGUCGUGGGACCUGAUCUGAUUCUGCUACCGCAGAAUCAAAGAGUUAACAAGUCUUUUUCUAGCCGAAAUGACAUUGGAAAAGUCUACCCUAGAUGGUGAUAGUCCAGUAGGCGAAAGGGAAAGACCUCUUUUUUCAGGCACCCGAGUAUCAUGGGAUAAGGGAAGCCCUGUGAGAAUUUAGGAGGACCACCUCCUAAGGCUAAAUACUAACUGGUGACCGAUAGUGAACUAGUACCGUGAGGGAAAGGUGAAAAGUACCCCGGGAGGGGAGUGAAAUAGUACCUGAAACCGUAUACCUACAAGCAGUGGGAGCACUAUUUUUUAAGAUUUAUCUUAGGAAAGUGUGACCGCGUGCCUUUUGUAGAAUGAGCCGGCGAGUUACGAUAUCUAGCUAGGUUAAGCAGCAGCUGCUGCGGAGCCGCAGCGAAAGCGAGUCUUAAAUAGGGCGAUUUUAGUUAGGUGGCGUAGACCCGAAACCGAGUGAUCUAACCAUGGCCAGGGUGAAGCAGGUCUGAUCGCCUGUGAAGGCCCGAACCCACUUAUGUUGAAAAAUGAGGGGAUGAGCUGUGGUUAGGGGUGAAAGACCAAUCAAACUCGGAGAUAGCUGGUUCUCCUCGAAAUAGCUUUAGGGCUAGCCUCAAAUGUUUGCCUAUGGAGGUAGAGCACUGAAUGGACUAAGGGC